AGAGUUUGAUCCUGGCUCAGAACGAACGCUGGCGGCAUGCCUAACACAUGCAAGUCGAACGGGAUCCGGACUUCGGUCCGGUGAGAGUGGCGGACGGGUGAGUAACACGUGGGAACCUGCCUUUUGGUUCGGGAUAACCGCGGGAAACUGCGGCUAAUACCGGAUGCUCCCGAGAGGGAAAAGACUUAUCGCCAGAAGAGGGGCCCGCGUCCGAUUAGGUAGUUGGUGGGGUAAUGGCCUACCAAGCCGACGAUCGGUAGCUGGUCUGAGAGGAUGAUCAGCCACACUGGGACUGAGAUACGGCCCAGACUCCUACGGGAGGCAGCAGUGGGGAAUAUUGGACAAUGGGGGCAACCCUGAUCCAGCAAUGCCGCGUGAGUGAUGAAGGCCUUAGGGUUGUAAAGCUCUUUUGCCAGGGAAGAUGAUGACUGUACCUGGAGAAUAAGCCCCGGCUAACUUCGUG
rnacentral:rRNA from 1 species